rnacentral:lncRNA from 1 species
CCGUCCGGUAUGGGCGCUAAAACCAUGAACCUCAAUACCCCGUCCGGUAUGAGGGUGAAACGGGCCGUCUCUAUACCCCGUCCGGUAUGGGCGCCAAAACACCGAAGGUCUCCAUACCCCGUCCGGUAUGAGAGACCACGUUCCCGGUAGGGUUCCCUACGGACCCGGUCCGUCCACCAUCUCCCAGGAUACCUAGUUAGGCUGUCCACAUUAUUCGUUUGCCAAUUCACAUAACUUUUUAUCCCUUUUUCUUUAGUCACCAUCAUCAAGUCACACACAAACAUGCAAACC